AUUGAACGCUGGCGGCAGGCCUAACACAUGCAAGUCGAGCGAGUGGCGGACGGGUGAGUAAUGUCUGGGGAUCUGCCCGAUAGAGGGGGAUAACUACUGGAAACGGUGGCUAAUACCGCAUACUAUCGGAUGUGCCCAUAUGGGAUUAGCUAGUAGGUGGGGUAAAGGCUCACCUAGGCGACGAUCCCUAGCUGGUCUGAGAGGAUGAUCAGCCACACUGGAACUGAGACACGGCCCAGACUCCUACGGGAGGCAGCAGUGGGGAAUAUUGCACAAUGGGCGCAAGCCUGAUGCAGCCAUGCCGCGUGUAUGAAGAAGGCCUUCGGGUUGUAAAGUACUUUCAGCGGGGAGGCGUUACCCGCAGAAGAAGCACCGGCUAACUCCGUGCCAGCAGCCGCGGUAAUUC
rnacentral:rRNA from 1 species